GGUCAGGGAUGGAACCUGUGUCCUCAUGAAUACUAGGCAGAUUUCCACUGCGCCACAACGGGGGCUCCCUGUUUCCCCUUUUAGUCCCGGAAGAAAUACAUCCCUUUUGAGCUUUCCAUUGGGACAACAAACUCGAAAUGUUCCAUUCGUAUGAAAUUUUAAGUUCUUUUGGUUAAAUAUUGGAGGUAAGGCCGCUCAUCUUCUGAUGAAAGGUAACCCUGGCUGAUUUCAAAGCGGGCUUAUUGGCUCAACCUAUGGGGAUUUGAACCGGGCAAGACAGGACCAGGUGAUCAUAAUUUGCCUACAUUUGUGCGAAAUAGGAUAGCCUCGCCCACAUUCUACUUUCUGAGCUGGUAGUUAUCAAGUGUUGGCCAAAGAUGCUCAUUCAGCGCAUCUGGGGUGGAGCCAUAUUUUCAAUCAGCAUCUCGAGAUAAUUCCAACACAGGUGGUUUAAAUCCCACUUUAAGAAACCUUGGGACGCUAGACGUGGAGAGAGUUUCCAUCGCGGAGAUUUGGCACCUGGGGGCCGUGGGUAAGGUGCUCUUAAACCAGGCCAGACGCCUUCGGGAAGAACUCAACAGGAGGAGCGGGGUCGCGGGACCGCAGGCUGAGCGAGCACAUGGGCCUCAGCUCAUGCGGCCAGACGUCCUCAGAGGAUCUGUGACACAGUCCUGACAAGAGCUGGGGUUUCAGAGCCAGGCUGCCUGGGCUCAGGUCCACCUCGGCCGCUUCUCACUGUAAAUCCUCAGAUUGGCGAUAGAAACAGUUUGCCUCUACUUGUAAAGCAGGAGUAACAGCAGUCCCUUCUUCUUAGAGUUCUUAGGAGGACAAAGUAACACAGUGAUUUGAAGGCCCACAGCGUAGCAGGUGCCAACUGCACGGAACUUAUCUUCUGGAGGAGGAUAGGAAUUGACGUGCAGGGCGUUCAAAACUGGACCCUCCAUUCCGUUUUUAAUUCCCGUGGCUGUGGGCUCCAAGCUUCCUGCACAGUCCGCUGGGAUCUUUGCUGUUGCUGGGCGGAACAUCGGGCUUGGGAAAGUGGCUCUGUCUACCUUUUGCAAAAGAACAAUGGUUUUCACUUGAAUUUAAUUAAGGCCCAGUGCUUCUUUCCAUCCUUACCGUGGUGUCCCAGCAUCUCUCCUCUGAUGAUGUUCUCCUGGAGAAGUGUCUGUAAAACUCAUUCGCUAAGCACAGCAAUCAGACAGCGGGGUAGGGUAGGAUAAUUCAGAGACCCACUUAACCAUCUUUCACUGGAGGAAGCUGUCAGAAUUUCAGACCUGGCUUAUUUUUUUGUUGUAGGGAUUUUUUUUUUUCUUUUGUCUUAUAACUCCCUUACAGAUCCGUCUGUGGGGGAAAAAAAGCAAUUGGUUAUUAGAAAAAUGUGUAUUUCCCCAUUAUAAUACACUGCGCCACAUCAGAGCACACUGAAGAGUCUGUAGUACGUUCUGAAAGUGCCAAACGUAAUUUGUAUGCAAAUAUCUCAUGCAAAGGAUUACUUUUAUCUUUUUCAAUUGCAGGCAGAAAAACACACCAAGUGAAUCUGAGACAAACAUAGGCUAGAUCCUGCUGUGAUUAAAAAACCACCCUAAUGCAAAGCUGCCUGUAGAGAAGAAGAGGAAAUUUCUCUUGUAUUAACUUAUUCAGAUUCUGUGUAAGACGUAGCAGUGCCGCUUUCCUCCAGGACACAGAGCUUCCCUCUUCUAUCAAAUGUGUCUAAUCGCAGCCUGUUUGCUCCCUGUCUGGUCCCAAAGAGGCACCAGAGAGAAACUGUGUGCCAACGUAUUCCAUGUGGGGCAGAGAUAAUCCCAUGGAAGCCUUGCUGGCGUGUACCAACCUAACACAAUAAUUGCCAAAUCGCCGCUCCCCCAUCCUGUGAGAGGCCACAGCGUCGGGUAUAUUCUCAGGGGGCCUUUUCUUAUCCGGCCUGUGAUCAGAUGAUGCCUAGCCUGUGCCUAGCCAUGCAGGGGGCACUUGAUUUAAGAGAUGGAAGCUGUAAACAUACCCAGCACAUUAUUCAACUCUGUAUACAAAUAAUUCAGGGAAGCUAAGACGGCCCAAAGCCCCCAAAUCCACUCCCCGUGGUGUCUUCCGUUUCAUCUCUUCUCAAUGAACAUUUGCUUAAAGCUGAACUUCUCCAGGGGAGCAGGGAAGAAUAAUUUACUGAGUAAUCAUAUUCUCCCAGUCCAAGAAAAAAAAAAAAAAAAAAA